CAGGCUUAACACAUGCAAGUCGAGGGGCAGCAUUUCAGUUUGCUUGCAAACUGGAGAUGGCGACCGGCGCACGGGUGAGUAACACGUAUCCAACCUGCCGAUAACUCGGGGAUAGCCUUUCGAAAGAAAGAUUAAUACCCGAUGGUAUAAUCAGACCGCAUGGUCUUGUUAUUAAAGAAUUUCGGUUAUCGAUGGGGAUGCGUUCCAUUAGGCAGUUGGUGAGGUAACGGCUCACCAAACCUUCGAUGGAUAGGGGUUCUGAGAGGAAGGUCCCCCACAUUGGAACUGAGACACGGUCCAAACUCCUACGGGAGGCAGCAGUGAGGAAUAUUGGUCAAUGGGCGCAGGCCUGAACCAGCCAAGUAGCGUGAAGGAUGACUGCCCUAUGGGUUGUAAACUUCUUUUAUAUGGGAAUAAAGUUUUCCACGUGUGGAAUUUUGUAUGUACCAUAUGAAUAAGGAUCGGCUAACUCCGUGCCAGCAGCCGCGGUAAUACGGAGGAUCCGAGCGUUAUCCGGAUUUAUUGGGUUUAAAGGGAGCGUAGGUGGACAGUUAAGUCAGUUGUGAAAGUUUGCGGCUCAACCGUAAAAUUGCAGUUGAUACUGGCUGUCUUGAGUACAGUAGAGGUGGGCGGAAUUCGUGGUGUAGCGGUGAAAUGCUUAGAUAUCACGAAGAACUCCGAUUGCGAAGGCAGCUCACUGGACUGCAACUGACACUGAUGCUCGAAAGUGUGGGUAUCAAACAGGAUUAGAUACCCUGGUAGUCCACACAGUAAACGAUGAAUACUCGCUGUUUGCGAUAUACAGUAAGCGGCCAAGCGAAAGCAUUAAGUAUUCCACCUGGGGAGUACGCCGGCAACGGUGAAACUCAAAGGAAUUGACGGGGGCCCGCACAAGCGGAGGAACAUGUGGUUUAAUUCGAUGAUACGCGAGGAACCUUACCCGGGCUUAAAUUGCAUUUGAAUAUAUUGGAAACAGUAUAGCCGUAAGGCAAAUGUGAAGGUGCUGCAUGGUUGUCGUCAGCUCGUGCCGUGAGGUGUCGGCUUAAGUGCCAUAACGAGCGCAACCCUUAUCUUUAGUUACUAACAGGUCAUGCUGAGGACUCUAGAGAGACUGCCGUCGUAAGAUGUGAGGAAGGUGGGGAUGACGUCAAAUCAGCACGGCCCUUACGUCCGGGGCUACACACGUGUUACAAUGGGGGGUACAGAAGGCAGCUACCUGGUGACAGGAUGCUAAUCCCAAAAGCCUCUCUCAGUUCGGAUCGAAGUCUGCAACCCGACUUCGUGAAGCUGGAUUCGCUAGUAAUCGCGCAUCAGCCAUGGCGCGGUGAAUACGUUCCCGGGCCUUGUACACACCGCCCGUCAAGCCAUGAAAGCCGGGGGUACCUGAAGUACGUAACCGCAAGGAGCGUCCUAGGGUAAAACUGGUAAUUGG
rnacentral:rRNA from 1 species